GACGAACGCUGGCGGCGUGCCUAAUACAUGCAAGUAGAACGCUGAAGAGAGGAGCUUGCUCUUCUUGGAUGAGUUGCGAACGGGUGAGUAACGCGUAGGUAACCUGCCUUGUAGCGGGGGAUAACCAUUGGAAACGAUAGCUAAUACCGCAUAACAAUGGAUGACACAUGUCAUUUAUUUGAAAGGGGCAAUUGUUCCACUACAAGAUGGACCUGCGUUGUUUUAGCUAGUAGGUGAGGUAAUGGCUCACCUAGGCGACGAUACAUAGCCGACCUGAGAGGGUGAUCGGCCACACUGGGACUGGGACACGGCCCAGACUCCUACGGGAGGCAGCAGUAGGGAAUCUUCGGCAAUGGGGGCAACCCUGACCGAGCAACGCCGCGUGAGUGAAGAAGGUUUUCGGAUCGUAAAGCUCUGUUGUAAGUCAAGAACGGGUGUGAGAGUGGAAAGUUCACACUGUGACGGUAGCUUACCAGAAAGGGACGGCUAACUACGUGC
rnacentral:rRNA from 1 species